rnacentral:rRNA from 1 species
AACGGAGGAAGGGGGGAGAUCAAAUCAUCAUGCCCUUAUGACUUGGGUACACACGUGUACAAUGGACGGUACAAAGAGUGCAAGACCGCGAGGUGGAGCUAAUCUCAUAAAACCGUUCUCAGUUCGGAUUGUAGGCUGCAACUCGCCUACAUGAAGCUGGAAUCGCUAGUAAUCGCGGAUCAGCAUGCCGCGGUGAAUACGUUCCCGGGCCUUGUACACACCGCCCGUCACACCACGAGAGUUUGUAACACCCGAAGUCGGUGGGGUAACCUUUUUGGAGCCAGCCGCCUAAGGUGGACAGAUGAUUGGGGGG